rnacentral:rRNA from 1 species
GGCCCCCGUAACUUCGGGAGAAGGGGGGCCGGAUACGUUACAUCCUUCUCGGGUGGAAGCGUUGAUGGCCGCAGAGACCAGGCCCAAGCGACUGUUUACUAAAAACACAGGUCCGUGCGAAGAAGUAAUUCGAUGUAUACGGACUGACGCCUGCCCGGUGCUGGAACGUUAAGGGGACAGGUUAGCUGGUUUAGGCCGGCGAAGCUUUGAACUUAAGCGCCAGUAAACGGCGGUGGUAACUAUAACCAUCCUAAGGUAGCGAAAUUCCUUGUCGGGUAAGUUCCGACCUGCACGAAUGGCGUAACGACUUGGGCGCUGUCUCAACCGUGGACUCGGCGAAAUUGCAUUACGAGUAAAGAUGCUCGUUACGCGCAGCAGGACGGAAAGACCCCGGGACCUUUACUACAACUUGGUAUUGGUGGUCGGUACAACUUGUGUAGGAUAGGUGGGAGACUUUGAAGCUCGGACGCCAGUUCGGGUGGAGUCAUCGUUGAAAUACCACUCUGGUUGUUCUGGCUGUCUAACUUAGGUCCAUUAUCUGGAUCAGGGACAGUGCCUGGUGGGUAGUUUGGCUGGGGCGGUCGCCUCCUAAAAGGUAACGGAGGCGCUCAAAGGUUCCCUCAGCCUGGUUGGCAAUCAGGUGUCGAGUGUAAGUGCACAAGGGAGCUUGACUGUGAGACAGACAUGUCGAGCAGGGACGAAAGUCGGAACUAGUGAUCCGGCGGUGGCAUGUGGGAGCACCGUCGCUCUACGGAUAAAAGGUACCCCGGGGAUAACAGGCUGAUCUUCCCCAAGAGUCCAUAUCGACGGGAUGGUUUGCACCUCGAUGUCGGCUCGUCGCAUCCUGGGGCUGGAGUAGGUCCCAAGGGUUGGGCUGUUCGCCCAUUAAAGCGGCACGCGAGCUGGGUUUAGAACGUCGUGAGACAGUUCGGUCCCUAUCCGCUGCGCGCGCAGGAGAAUUGAGAAGGGCUGCCCCUAGUACGAGAGGACCGGGGUGGACGAACCUCUGGUGUGCCAGUUGUUCCGCCAGGAGCACGGCUGGUUGGCUACGUUCGGAAGUGAUAACCGCUGAAAGCAUCUAAGCGGGAAGCACGCUACAAGAUGAGUUCUCCCACCGGGUUAACCGGGUAAGGCCCCCAGUAGACCACUGGGUUGAUAGGCCAGAGGUGGAAGCACCGUAAGGUGUGGAGCUGACUGGUACUAAUAGGCCGAGGGCUUGUCCC